rnacentral:rRNA from 1 species
GAGUUUGAUCAUGGCUCAGAUUGAACGCUGGCGGCAUGCUUUACACAUGCAAGUCGAACGGUAACAGGGAGCUUGCUCCGCUGACGAGUGGCGAACGGGUGAGUAAUGCGUCGGAACGUGCCGAGUAGUGGGGGAUAACGCAUCGAAAGGUGUGCUAAUACCGCAUACGAACUGAGGUUGAAAGUGGGGGACCUUCGGGCCUCACGCUAUUCGAGCGGCCGACGUCUGAUUAGCUAGUAGGUGAGGUAAAGGCUCACCUAGGCGACGAUCAGUAGCGGGUCUGAGAGGAUGAUCCGCCACACUGGGACUGAGACACGGCCCAGACUCCUACGGGAGGCAGCAGUGGGGAAUUUU